AGACUCUAGACUGUAAGAACUUGUUGCAGAAACCAAGGGAUUUUAAGGAAUAUUCUGAGGAAGAAAGGUGCGUGUCUGACAGUCUCAGGAAAGAUCUCUACAAAAACUCUCAAAUGACAGAUUAACGAUCCAUUUGAUACUCAACAAAAAGUAUGUGAGCAUAAACCGGUUCUCCAGGAUCCAUCAGAUUUAAUACCAACAUCAUAGACAGCCAUACCUAAUCAGUAAGGU